AAAACUUUCAACAACGGAUCUCUUGGCUCUAGCAUCGAUGAAGAACGCAGCGAAACGCGAUAAGUAGUGUGAAUUGCAGAAUUCAGUGAAUCAUCGAAUCUUUGAACGCACAUGGCGCCCCCUGGCAUCCCGGGGGGCAUGCCUGUCCGAGCGUCGUUUCAACCCUCGAGCCCCCGUGGCCCGGCGUUGGGG
rnacentral:rRNA from 1 species